UACGUAGGGGGCAAGCGUUGUCCGGAAUUAUUGGGCGUAAAGCGCGCGCAGGCGGCUUGUUAAGUCAGGUGUUUAACCCUCGGGCUCAACCCGGGGUCGCACUUGAAACUGGGAGGCUGGAGUGCAGGAGAGGGAAGCGGAAUUCCACGUGUAGCGGUGAAAUGCGUAGAUAUGUGGAGGAACACCAGUGGCGAAGGCGGCUUCCUGGCCUGUAACUGACGCUGAGGCGCGAAAGCGUGGGGAGCAAACA
rnacentral:rRNA from 1 species